rnacentral:tRNA from 1 species
CAAGUUAAAGCUUAAGUUAAGUGUUUUAUUUACAUUAAAAAGUUAGUUGUUAAAAUCAAUUUGAUUUGA